UCUCAAGUUCAGUACAUCAAAGUUACACAUAAUUACCUGCAGUCUGAUGUGAUGGAAAGUGACUGGCAUUGGGACUCUGAGCUCUGGCAGAACUGUCGGGCCUUACGAACACGGAAGAAUCUGCAUCUGGAUUGAGUGGAAAGAACCAUUCUGUUGUACAACAGCCUGUAAAUGGAUGUCUGAGUCUUCCACGUUGGCUUCCCUAGGAACCCUCAAAGAUUUUUGUACUUCUGAAAAGCUUUGAUCUGGCUCCUUUAUAUUUGUAUUGCGCUGAGACUCCAGCUCCACAGCUUUAUUUGCUUCAUGUACAUGAACUGGUUUUUCAGGAAGCUUCACAUACUUCUUAUCAAAUGCCUCCGCAGUGACAAGCUGAAUUCCAUAAGCAUCCUGUUUGGCAGUUAUGAGAAUGCAUUAUAAGUAGCAUGGCUUCCCAGUACAAAAGACACAGUGACACAGUGGAGCAAGUGCAAUGAAGAGCCACAGGGAUGAUCAGAGGAAGGAUGAAGCACAUGAUGUUCAACAAGAAGCUAAAAAACUGAGUUUGUUCAAUCUUAAGAAAAGGCUUGGGGAUGUGGGGGAAGGGGCACAGAAAUCUGUCUACUACACCCUAAGUGACAGUAUAGAGAAGAUGCAGUCAAUCUUCUUGAAUAUGCUCAGUGAAAGAAAAAGAAAACGGACCCAAGAUGCAACACAGGAAAUUCUGGUUUGAUAUAAUAAAAUACUAAAAUAAAAAAGAAGAAAGUUGUCAAAAGGUUGUCCAGGGCUGUCUGGAGUCUUUGUCCUUGGAGAUAUUUAGAACUUUCCUGGACAAGGCCUUAAAGAACCUGGUCUAAGUUGGCUCUGCUGUGAGCUGGAAGGAGAAUCUGGACCACGUAACUAGAAGUCCUUCUUGGCCUAGAUUAAUCUAUGAUUCUAGGUUUUCAAACAUUCCAGGAGAAAGCAGUUCAAAUUAAAAUACUAGCAUUAUCUUCAUGUUAGCUAAUAAAGAUGUUCUUAUUUUCAUGAAUUAUUACAUUUUUCUAGAGAGCGUAGAACUCCCACCAGUCUGUUAACCAGUGUUUUAUCAACUGUGUAAUCCUAUGUGAUUAAUAAAGUAUUAUAUAUUACUGUCUCUA